UCUUGGCCUGAGUUCUUAAUAGUUAUUCUAUGGGGUUUUUCCAGAGAGAGCAAUUGGAAGAUGCAUUUGAGGUGUGUCUCUCAAAGAGAAAGAGGAAUUCAUACUACUAGCAAAAGCGACAAAGAAGAAAAGAAUGUCAAGCAGGCAUAUUCCAUCUCCAGCAGUGAGUGGAUGCCAACGCUGCGGCUGCUCCUACCCCUGGCCACUUACUCUCCAAUCAGGAUGCCAGGAAAAUGCCCCCUAAGUUCUAGAUUAAAUCAGAAGGGGAGAUCUCCAAGAAAAGAAGACAGCGAAACUGUCUUUUCCCUGUUCUGAAAAUGGCAGAGCCCCCUCUGUGCAGGAAGAAAUGCACCUGGCAGUGGCGAGUCGUGUGAUGUCUGCCCUACAUGUAAUAUCUUCCUCUGUUUUGAGGCUGUGUGCAGUUUACAUAGACACCUUCCUGUUACCUAAAGAACAUCUCUGUCUGUCUGGAUCCAUCUCUUGUCAAUCUAGAAGUCGAGUGGCAGGUGGAAAACCAUCCCCCA
rnacentral:lncRNA from 1 species